AUUGAACGCUGGCGGCAGGCCUAACACAUGCAAGUCGAAUGGUAACAGGAAACAGCUUGCUGUUUCGCUGACGAGUGGCGGACGGGUGAGUAAUGUCUGGGAAACUGCCUGAUGGAGGGGGAUAACUACUGGAAACGGUAGCUAAUACCGCAUAACGUCGCAAGACCAAAGAGGGGGACCUUCGGGCCUCUUGCCAUCAGAUGUGCCCAGAUGGGAUUAGCUAGUAGGUGGGGUAACGGCUCACCUAGGCGACGAUCCCUAGCUGGUCUGAGAGGAUGACAAGCCACACUGGAACUGAGACACGGUCCAGACUCCUACGGGAGGCAGCAGUGGGGAAUAUUGCACAAUGGGCGCAAGCCUGAUGCAGCCAUGCCGCGUGUAUGAAGAAGGCCUUCGGGUUGUAAAGUACUUUCAGCGGGGAGGAAGGGAGUAAAGUUAAUACCUUUGCUCAUUGACGUUACCCGCAGAAGAAGCACCGGCUAACUCCGUG
rnacentral:rRNA from 1 species